AGGAUCGAGUUGAUACUGACGUGCAAAUCGUUCAUUUCAAUCACGUUUAGGGGCGAAAGACUAAUCGAAAAGCCUAUUAGCUGGUUAUUUUCGAAAGAUCUCUCAGGAUCGCUGGAGUUGAUUAAUAUAAUUUUACCAGGUAGAGAUAAUGAUUAGAGGAAUCAGGGAAAUCGUUUUCCUUGACCUAUUCUCAAACUCCCAAUAGGUAAAAAGGGCGAAAUAACUCAACUUGUAUUUCACUCAUAUUAAAUAAAAUAACUCCAAGUGGGCCAUUUUUGGUAAGCAGAACUGGCGAUGAGGGAUGCUCCUAACGCUUGGAUAAGGUGCCUAAAUUAUUCGCUCAUGAGAUCCCAUAAAAGGUGUUGGUUCAUAAUGACAGUAGGACGGUGGUCAUGGAAGUCGAAAUCCGCUAAGGAGUGUGUAACAACUCACCUACCGAAUGAACUAGCCCUGAAAAUGGAUGGCGCUAAAGCGGAUUACCGAUACCAAGCCAUAAAAAGAACAGAAAAAAAAUUUAUUUUUUUUUUAGAAUCUUUUUAUGAGUAGAAAAUCGUGGGGUUUGUGUUGAAGCGAAAUACGUGAGUUUUCGUGGAACAUCUCCCUAGUGCAGAUCUUGGUGGAAGUAGCAACUAUUCAAAUGAGAACUUUGAAGACUGAAGUGGAGAAGGGUUUCUUGUCAACUGUGAUUGAACAAGAGUUAGCCGCUCCUAAGGGAUAGCUGAAAAGUGUUUAAAAGGGGUUUCUUCCCCGUCUCAAAAGGGAAACAGGUUGAUAUUCCUGUGCCAAUAGUAUUAUGAGUUUCUUAGAUGGUAACAUAUAUAUAAAUGAACUCCUUUACAUAGGCUUUACACUCGGGGUGCGUUUUCUUUGCACUUUACCUUUAUAACAAACCUUGGAAUCAAUUUACUUGGAGAAGAGGUUCGUUGAACUCAAUUCAAAAAAUUUCUUGAACGGGGUUUUCGGAUUCAGUUCAUUUUAUUUUUUGUUUUGUAGCAAUAGUAAUUCGUUUUUAUGAAUUAUCCGAAGUGGUAAGGACUAUCCUUGAAAAAAGGAGGGAACGGCUUUGUAAACUUGGUUUCUUCUGAUUCCAUUUUGCUUUGCUAUACUCUUAAU
rnacentral:ncRNA from 1 species